rnacentral:rRNA from 1 species
GGAUCAUUACAGAGUUCGUGCCCUAACGGGUAGAUCUCCCACCCUGUGUUAUUAUUACCAUGUUGCUUUGGCGGGACGUAGAGGCUCGCCCUCUCCACCGGCUUCGGCUGGUGUGUGACCGCCAGAGGACCCAAAACCCUGAAUAUUAGUGUCGUCUGAGUACUAUAUAAUAGUUAAAACUUUCAACAACGGAUCUCUUGGUUCUGGCAUCGAUGAAGAACGCAGCGAAAUGCGAUAAGUAAUGUGAAUUGCAGAAUUCAGUGAAUCAUCGAAUCUUUGAACGCACAUUGCGCCCCUUGGUAUUCCGGGGGGCAUGCCUGUUCGAGCGUCAUUACAACCCUCAAGCUCGGCUUGGUAUUGGGCUCUCGCCGUUCACGCGGCGGGCCUUAAAAUCAGUGGCGGUGCCGUCGUGGCCCUGAGCGCAGUAAAUAUCCUCGCUAUAGGGACCCGGUGGUUACUGGCCAGCAACCCCCAACUUUCUAAGUUUGACCUCGGAUCAGGUAGGGAUACCCGCUGAACUUAAGCAUAUCAAUAAGCGGAGGAAAAGAAACCAACAGGGAUUGCCUCAGUAACGGCGAGUGAAGCGGCAACAGCUCAAAUUUGAAAUCUGGCUCUUUUAGGGUCCGAGUUGUAAUUUGUAGAAGAUGCUUUGGGAAUGGUUCCGGUCUAAGUUCCUUGGAACAGGACGUCAUAGAGGGUGAGAAUCCCGUAUGCGACUGGUCGCCUGCCCCGUGUAAAGCUCUUUCGACGAGUCGAGUUGUUUGGGAAUGCAGCUCAAAAUGGGUGGUAUAUUUCAUCUAAAGCUAAAUAUUGGCCAGAGACCGAUAGCGCACAAGUAGAGUGAUCGAAAGAUGAAAAGCACUUUGGAAAGAGAGUUAAACAGUACGUGAAAUUGUUGAAAGGGAAGCGCUUGCAACCAGACUUGCACGUAGCUAAUCAUCUGGUGUUCUCACCGGUGCACUUGGCUAUGUUCAGGCCAGCAUCGGUUCAGGUGGUGGGAUAAAGGCCUUGGGAAUGUAGCUUCUUUCGGGGAGUGUUAUAGCCCUCGGUGCAAUGCCGCCUACCUGGACCGAGGACCGCGCUUCGGCUAGGAUGCUGGCGUAAUGGUUGUAAGCGACCCGUCUUGAAACACGGACCAAGGAGUCUAACAUCUAUGCGAGUGUUUGGGUGUCAAACCCAUACGCGUAAUGAAAGUGAACGGAGGUGAGAACCCUUAAGGGUGCAUCAUCGACCGAUCCUGAUGUCUUCGGAUGGAUUUGAGUAAGAGCAUAGCUGUUGGGACCCGAAAGAUGGUGAACUAUGCCUGAAUAGGGUGAAGCCAGAGGAAACUCUGGUGGAGGCUCGCAGCGGUUCUGACGUGCAAAUCGAUCGUCAAAUUUGGGUAUAGGGGCGAAAGACUAAUCGAACCAUCAGACUUGCUACUAGGUGGUUGAGAGACGCGCGAAAAGCGUGGAUCUAGCUCUGUGCAGUGAGCAACAUUAUCAAAUUGCGGGGACCUCCUGUUAACAUCCAAUGCUACCGCCGCUCCGUCGAAAGUCGAGCUGGCACCGGGUUAGUGACCCUGGGUAUGGUAAUAACGCAUUGGAUAUACGGAAAAUCCGCAGCAAACUCCCUACGGGUGCGUCCUACGGGGUCUGUCCACAGACUAAAUGAUAAUGGGUACCGUCAAAUACGGUGCUUAAGAUAUAGUCGAUCCCCCGGGAGACCGGGCCUUGGGAUUCCCAAGGGAGACACUCGUGUCUCGGGGAAGCACCUCUUACGAGGCCGCUUCAAAUGCUAGUAGCUGGUUCCUGCCGAAGUUUCCCUCAGGAUAGCAGUGUUGAAUUCAGUUUUAUGAGGUAAAGCGAAUGAUUAGAGGCCUUGGGGUUGAAACAACCUUAACCUAUUCUCAAACUUUAAAUAUGUAAGAAGUCCUUGUUACUUAAUUGAACGUGGACAUUCGAAUGUACCAACACUAGUGGGCCAUUUUUGGUAAGCAGAACUGGCGAUGCGGGAUGAACCGAACGGGAAGUUAAGGUGCCGGAAUGUACGCUCAUCAGACACCACAAAAGGUGUUAGUUCAUCUAGACAGCAGGACGGUGGCCAUGGAAGUCGGAAUCCGCUAAGGAAUGUGUAACAACUCACCUGCCGAAUGAACUAGCCCUGAAAAUGGAUGGCGCUUAAGCGUACUACCCAUACUUCCCCGCCAGGGUAGAAACGAUGCCCUGGCGAGUAGGCAGGCGUGGAGGUCAGUGACGAAGCCUUGGGGGUACCCGGGUAGAA